rnacentral:rRNA from 2 species
AAACCGCUCAGAGGUAAACGGGUGGUUCCGCAAAAGUCAGCCCGUGGAAUUCAGCGCGGCGCUCGGCCUGGGGCUGCUGCGGGUCGGGAUCCCUCGGACCCGCCUGCGGCGUCGCACUGGGCCUCGCCGCGUGCACUUUCCAUGGGCAGAGCGCUACGAUCGGUUUCUCGGCGGCGAUUAGCCCCGCUGCUUUGCGUGGCACGGCUUUCGGGUCGUGCCUCGGGCGGCGGCGGUGAGCUGCUGGGGGACCGAGGAACGGCCGUUCGCUUUGAGGCUGCUCGGCCUCGCGGAGGAGUUCGACUGGCGGGGACUGGGCAACCGUGCCCGCCGACCGCUUUUCUGUGCUGGAUCGGGCUCGCCGGGCGAGCAUGGGGUCAGUGGCGAGUCUGUCGGCCUACCACCCGACCCGUCUUGAAACACGGACCAAGGAGUCUAACAUGCGCGCGAGUCAUUGGGCUGUACGAAACCCAAAGGCGCAGUGAAAGCGAGGGUCGCCCCGGGCUGACCCAGGUGGGAUCCUUUUGCUUCGCAGGAGGCGCACCACCGGCCCGUCCCGUCUGCGCUGUCAGUGGGGCGGAGCUAGAGCGCGCACGCUGGGACCCGAAAGAUGGUGAACUAUGCCUGAGUAGAACGAAGCCAGAGGAAACUCUGGUGGAAGUCCGUAGCGAUUCUGACGUGCAAAUCGAUCGUCAAACUUUGGUAUAGGGGCGAAAGACUAAUCGA